rnacentral:rRNA from 1 species
GACGAACGCUGGCGGCGUGCUUAACACAUGCAAGUCGAACGGAAAGGCCCUGCUUUUGUGGGGUGCUCGAGUGGCGAACGGGUGAGUAACACGUGAGUAACCUGCCCUUGACUUUGGGAUAACUUCAGGAAACUGGGGCUAAUACCGGAUAGGAGCUCCUGCUGCAUGGUGGGGGUUGGAAAGUUUCGGCGGUUGGGGAUGGACUCGCGGCUUAUGAGCUUGUUGGUGGGGUAGUGGCUUACCAAGGCUUUGACGGGUAGCCGGCCUGGGAGGGUGACCGGCGACAUUGGGACUGAGAUACGGCCCAGACUCCUACGGGAGGCAGCAGUGGGGAACAUUGCACAAUGGGCGGAAGCCUGAUGCAGAAACGCCGCGUGCGGGAUGACGGCCUUCGGGUUGUAAACCGCUGUCGCCUGUGACGAAGCGUGAGUGACGGUAAUGGGUAAAGAAGCACCGGCUAACUACGUG